rnacentral:rRNA from 1 species
AACGAACGCUGGCGGCAGGCUUAACACAUGCAAGUCGAGCGAACCCUUCGGGGUUAGCGGCGGACGGGUGAGUAACGCGUGGGAACGUGCCCUUUCCUACGGAAUCGCCUCGGGAAAAUGCGAGUAAUACCGUAUACGCCCUUUUGGGGUAGGAUUUAUCGGAGAAGGAUCGGCCCACGUUGGUUUAGGUCGUUGGGGGGGUAACGGCCUAACAAGCCGACGAUCCAUAGCUGGUUUGAGAGGAUGAUCAGCCACACUGGGACUGAGACACGGCCCAGACUCCUACGGGAGGCAGCAGUGGGGAAUCUUAGACAAUGGGGGCAACCCUGAUCUAGCCAUGCCGCGUGAGUGAUGAAGGCCUUAGGGUUGUAAAGCUCUUUCAGCUGGGAAGAUAAUGACGGUACCAGCAGAAGAAGCCCCGGCUAACUCCGUGCCAGCAGCCGCGGUAA